rnacentral:rRNA from 1 species
AGCGAACGCUGGCGGCAGGCCUAACACAUGCAAGUCGAACGAAGUCUUCGGACUUAGUGGCGGACGGGUGCGUAACACGUGGGAACGUACCUCUUGGAUCGGAACAACUCUGGGAAACUUGAGCUCACACCGGAUGAGCCCUUAGGGGGCAAGGUUUAUCGCCGAAAGAGCGGCCCGCGUUGGCUUAUCUACUUGGUGAGGUAAAGGCACACCAAGGCUACGAUAUAUAGCUGGUAUGAGAGGAUGAUCAGCCACACUGGGACUGAGACACGGCCCAGACUCUAACGGGAGGCAGCAGUGGGGAAUCUUGCGCAAUGGGCGAAAGCCUGACGCAGCCAUGCCGCGUGAAUGAUGAAGGUCUUAGGAUUGUAAAAUUCUUUUACCAGGGACGAUAAUGACGGUACCUGGAGAAAAAGCCCCGGCUAACUUCGUGCCAGCCGCCGCAGUAACAC